rnacentral:misc_RNA from 1 species
UCUCGGCUUAUCACCGGCUUUCCCCGAGAUGUCAAGCCCAGGUAAGGUUCUUCGCGUUGCGUCGAAUUAAACCACAUGCUCCACCGCUUGUGCGGGCCCCCGUCAAUUCCUUUGAGUUUCAGCCUUGCGGCCGUACUCCCCAGGCGGGGCACUUAAUGCGUUAGCGCCGGCACCCAGGGGGUCGCUCCCCCAGGCACCUAGUGCCCAUCGUUUACGGCGUGGACUAC